GCUCCAAUAGCGUAUAUUAAAGUUGUUGCAGUUAAAAAGCUCGUAGUUGAAUUUCUGCACGUGCCAGGGCGGUGACUUCGGUACUCGGACUGGCACGGGCAUCCUUGGAGGGUGGCGCUCACGCGCUGCUUCUCCAUCGUUUACUGUGAAAAAAUUAGAGUGUUUAAAGCAAGCUUGGCUUGAAUACAUUAGCAUGGAAU
rnacentral:rRNA from 1 species